GGCUGUCUAGUGUAGUGGGUAAGUCAUUUCAAAACCCUUGAUUUGGAAGCACACUAACAAACUGCAUUAGUUAUCACAUCGGAUUUUGACAGCAUGGCAGUGUGGAAAAUUUCCGGGGACGCAGGUUCGAUUCCUGCGACGGCCU